UGGGUACCGUCAAUGCCGGAGGUAUUAGCNCCGGGUUUUUCUUUCCCAAUAAAAGUGCUUUACAACCCGCAGGCCUUCUUCACACACGCGGCAUUGCUGCAUCAGGCUUGCGCCCAUUGUGCAAUAUUCCCCA
rnacentral:rRNA from 1 species